AUGAAAGACACUAGGAAAAGCUUGGAUUACCGAAAAAGAGAAAAUCAGUGGGUCCAGUGCUCACUACUUCACAUGCCUUGUUACAGUUGCAUUAGAGGACAGAUCAUAACCACUAGAAAGAUUCUAAUUGGCCUACUUGGGAUUAGAAAUCUAUUCUGGCACAAAGAUCUGUAUGGUCAAGCCUUGGAACCAAGUAAAACAGGAGCUCCUAGCCCUACUCUUCAGCUUAAAACAUGUCAGAAUGCUGAUUAAUAAACUAUAAUGUGCACAAAAAGUGCCUACAAAGCUCAAGUUCUGCAUCUUUUCUUCUACCAUUCACUCAUUUUCUUAUUCUUCAAUGAUCUCAAAGCCAUUUGUGUCAUGUUCACUAUUACUGCUAGGUAGUUCCUCCUUAUCCCCAAUGCGGCUUCUCUACAAACACAUACAUGCACAUUCACACAUAAUCUUCCUGCGCAUUUACUUCCUUGAAAAGUUAGCCCUUCUGAGAGAAAUGUUUUCCUUGAUUUUAAGCAGUUCCUUAUAUUUUGUAAAUAAA
rnacentral:lncRNA from 1 species